GAACUUAAGCAUAUCAGUAAGCGGAGGAAAAGAAACUAACCAGGAUUCCCGUAGUAACGGCGAGUGAAGUGGGAACAGCUCAAAAUUGGAAUCUGGCAUCCUGAAGGGUGCCCGAGUUGUCAAUGAUAGAGCACACAUGGGACGGUGCGGAUGGUCCAAGUGCCCUGGAACGGGCUGCCAGAGAGGGUGACAGCCCCGUGGGACCAUUGCCUUGCGCUGGCCAUAUCUUGUGUGCUCCACGAGUCGGAUUGCUUGGGAAUGCAGUCCUAAAUGGGUGGUACGGAUCAUCUAAAGCUAAAUAUGGGCAAGAGACCGAUAGCGAACAAGUACCGUGAGGGAAAGAUGAAAAGCACUUUGAAAAGAGAGUCAAACAGUACGUGAAAUUGUUAAAAGGGAAACGAUUGCGACCAGUGGGACGGCACCAUGUCAGCCAGCCAUCAUCAAGGUGGCAGGUGCAGUGUGGUGCUGUGGGUCGGCGGUGCCUUGGGUGUCUGGACAAGGCUGUGGGAAAGGUGGCCGCCCUCGGGUGCGCUUUAUAGUCCCGCAGAGAUACAGACCACCUGGGGCACUCCUCUUGUGGGGCUGCCGACGAAAUGGUCGUAAACGACCCGUCUUGAAACACGGACCAAGGAGUCUAGCAGCAGUGCGAGUAUUCGAGUGACAGAAACUUGGAUGCGUAAAGAAACUGACAGUGACGUGGGAGCCUGCGGUGAUGCGUGGGUGCACCAUGGGCCGGUCCUGGGCAUGCCCUGGAUUGCGCUGGAGCACUGCUGCUGGGACCCGAAA
rnacentral:rRNA from 1 species